rnacentral:rRNA from 1 species
AGUGAACGCUGGCGGUAGGCCUAACACAUGCAAGUCGAACGGCAGCACAGUAAGAGUUUGCUCUUACGGGUGGCGAGUGGCGGACGGGUGAGGAAUAGAUCGGAAUCUACUUUUUCGUGGGGGAUAACGUAGAGAAACUUACGCUAAUACCGCAUAUGAUCUACGGGUGAAAGCAGGAGAGCUUCGGAGCUUGCGUGAUUGAAUGAGCCGGUUUCGGAUUAGCUAGUUGGCGUGGUAAAGGCCCACCCAGGCGACGAUCCGUUGCCUGCCCGAGGGGAUGAUCCACCCACACUGAACUUGAGACACGUCCCGACCCCUAACGGAAGGCAGCGUUGGGAAAUAUUGGACAAUGGGCGAAAGCCUGAUCCAGCCCGACCGCGUGGGUGAAGAAGGCCUUCGAGUUGUAAAGCCCUUUUGUUGGGAAAGAAAAGCAGCAGGUUAAUACCCCGCUGUUCUGACGUUACCCAAAAAAUAAGCACCGGCUAACUUCUU